rnacentral:ncRNA from 1 species
GUGUUGUAUGAAAGGAGAGGUUAGCACUCCCCUUGACUAGAAUGGAAGAGGCUCUUGGGCCUUACAACAUGCAUACAGUUUAAUGACCUAAUAUUUUCU